UGCUGGAGGAAGAGCAACCACCUAGCCCUGCCGGAGGAGGCGCACCCCCUGCCCCUGCUAAUGGAAGCGCACCCAUCUGGCCCUGACUGCUGGAGAUCCGGAAUUGGAGGAAGGAGAAAGAGCACCUACCUCGCCAUGGCCCUGCUGGAGGAGACGCACCCACCCACCUGGCCCUGCUGGAGGACACGCACCCACCCACCUGGCCCUGCUGGCCCACCUUGCCCUGCUGGCCCACCUUGCCCUGCUGGAGGAGGCGCACCCACCUUACACUGCAGGAGGUGGCGGCGCACCCACCUGGCCCUGGCUGCUGGAGGAAGAGCACCCACCUGCCCCUGCCGGAGGAGGAAGAGCUCUCACCUGCCCCUGCCGGAGGAGGCGCACCCACCUGGCCCUGCUGAGGAGGCACACCCUUUGCCACUGCUGGCGAAGGAGCACACACCUGGCCCUGCUGGAGGAGGCACACCCAUCUGCGCCUGCUGGAGGAAGAGCAUCCACCUGCCCCUGCCGGAGGAGGCGCACCCCUGCCCCUGCUAAUGGAAGCGCACCCAUCUGGCCCUGACUGCUGGAGAUCCGGAAUUGGAGGAAGGAGAAAGAGCACCUACCUCGC